GUUUCUAUAGUUGAAUUACAACGAUGGUUUUUCAAGUCAUAGGUCUUGGUGAGACUCCGAGUGGAAAUU